AUCCUUUUGUAGUUCAUAAGUAUAAUGAUUGGGUGUUCAUGCCGUUGUGUGACAUGCGUCUCCUUCAACACUUGUUAUGACCUCAUCCCAUUACUCAUCUGAUG